rnacentral:rRNA from 1 species
GAUGAACGCUGGCGGCGUGCUUAACACAUGCAAGUCGAACGGGAAACCUUUUAUUGAAGCUUCGGCAGAUUUAGCUGGUUUCUAGUGGCGGACGGGUGAGUAACGCGUGGGUAACCUGCCUUAUACAGGGGGAUGACAACCAGAAAUGGUUGCUAAUACCGCAUAAGCGCACAGGACCGCAUGGUCCGGUGUGAAAAACUCCGGUGGUAUAAGAUGGACCCGCGUUGGAUUAGCUAGUUGGCAGGGUAACGGCCUACCAAGGCGACGAUCCAUAGCCGGCCUGAGAGGGUGAACGGCCACAUUGGGACUGAGACACGGCCCAGACUCCUACGGGAGGCAGCAGUGGGGAAUAUUGCACAAUGGGGGAAACCCUGAUGCAGCGACGCCGCGUGAAGGAAGAAGUAUCUCGGUAUGUAAACUUCUAUCAGCAGGGAAGAUAGUGACGGUACCUGACUAAGAAGCCCCGGCUAACUACGUG